GUAGGUGGCAAGCGUUGUCCGGAAUUAUUGGGCGUAAAGCGCGCGCAGGCGGUUCUUUAAGUCUGAUGUGAAGGCCCACGGCUCAACCGUGGAGGGUCAUUGGAAACUGGAGAACUUGAGUACAGAAGAGGAAAGCGGAAUUCCACGUGUAGCGGUGAAAUGCGUAGAGAUGUGGAGGAACACCAGUGGCGAAGGCGGCUUCCUGGUCUGUAACUGACGCUGAGGCGCGAAAGCGUGGGGAGCAAACAGGAUUAGAUACCCUGGUAGUCCACGCCGUAAACGAUGAGUGCUAAGUGUUAGGGGGGUUUUCCGCCCCCCUUAGUGCUGCAGCUAACGCAUUAAGCACUCCGCCUGGGAGUACGGCCGCAAGGCUG
rnacentral:rRNA from 1 species